UUAAAUUGACAUUUGAUUUUCGAAGUCCAAGAAAAAGUUAAAAUAAACAAAUAGAAAGGGAGAUGGAAUCUGCACUAUCUUCCUAUGGAGAAGAGUGAGCUGAGCAAUGAACUGCAAACCCAUUGCCUUGGGAUCUAAAAUACAGGACGUCAAGGUGAUGACUUCUGGAUGUUUUAGUUUGGGGCAUUACACCCGUGCAGUCUUGCAGUGGAGCCCAAGGCAGCUGCAGCAACCCCAGCCAGCGCCGCUGAAUAGAGCCAGUGCUGCGGCUCCGUGUGCGUCAGAUCCCUCCGCGGCCGUGCCGGCGCCCUCCCUCCCGCGAUCGGCCUCCACAGAGAAAGCGCCUUCCAGCCAACCCGCGGCUCCGGCUCCGACAUCUUCUCCGC
rnacentral:lncRNA from 1 species